AUUGAACGCUGGGGGUAGGCCUAACACAUGCAAGUCGAACGGCAGCACAGGAGAGCUUGCUCUCUGGGUGGCGAGUGGCGGACGGGUGAGGAAUACAUCGGAAUCUACCUUUUCGUGGGGGAUAACGUAGGGAAACUUACGCUAAUACCGCAUACGACCUACGGGUGAAAGUGGGGGACCGCAAGGCCUCACGCGAUUAG
rnacentral:rRNA from 1 species